rnacentral:rRNA from 1 species
GUGCCAGCAGCUGCGGUAAUACGAAGGGGCUAGCGUUGCUCGGAAUUACUGGGCGUAAAGCGCACGUAGGCGGACCGAUAAGUCGGGGGUGAAAUCCUGGAGCUCAACUCCAGAACUGCCUUCGAAACUGCCGGUCUUGAGUUCGGGAGAGGUGAGUGGAACUGCGAGUGUAGAGGUGAAAUUCGUAGAUAUUCGCAAGAACACCAGUGGCGAAGGCGGCUCACUGGCCCGAUACUGACGCUGAGGUGCGAAAGCGUGGGAGCAAACAGGAUUAGAUACCCUGGUAGUCCACGCCGUAAACGAUGAAUGCUAGCCGUUGGCGAGCUUGCUCGUCAGUGGCGCAGCUAACGCUUUAAGCAUUCCGCCUGGGAGUACGGUCGCAAG